rnacentral:lncRNA from 1 species
UCUUCUUCUUCUUCUUCUUCUUCUUCUUCCUCUUCCUAUUCUUCUUCUUCUUCUUCCUUCUUUUCCUUUUUCCUCUUCUUGUUCUUAUUAUUUCUUCUUUUCCGGUUUCCUCUUCUUCCUUCUUCUCCUCUAUCCUCCUUUUCUUCUUGUUCUUCUUCUUCUUCUUGUUGUUCUUUUUUUCUUCUCCUCUAACUAAGCUAAAUAACAACUAACUAACUAAGCUAAUUAACAAUAGCUAAUUAUUAACUGACCUAAUUAAGCUAAUUAAUUGUGGCUUAUUA